rnacentral:rRNA from 1 species
GUUGAACGCUGGCGGCAUGCCUAACACAUGCAAGUCGAACGAGUGGCGGACGGGUGAGUAAUGUCUGGGAAACUGCCUGAUGGAGGGGGAUAACGACUGGAAACGGUAGCUAAUACCGCAUACCAUCGGAUGUGCCCAGAUUGGAUGAGCUAGUAGGUGGGGUAACGGCUCACCUAGGCGACGAUCCCUAGCUGGUCUGAGAGGAUGACCAGCCACACUGGGACUGAGACACGGUCCAGACUCCUACGGGAGGCAGCAGUGGGGAAUCUUUCGCAAUGGGCGAAAGCCUGAUGGAGCCAUGCCGCGUGUAUGAAGAAGGCCUUCGGGUUGUAAAGUACUUUCAGCGGGGAGGCGUUACCCACAGAAGAAGCACCGGCUAACUCCGUGCCAGCAGCCGCGGUAAUAC